rnacentral:rRNA from 1 species
CGGUAUGAGAUGGGGAUGCGUUCCAUUAGUUUGUUGGCGGGGUAACGGCCCACCUAGUCUACGAUGGAUAGGGGUUCUGAGAGGAAGGUCCCCCACAUUGGAACUGAGACACGGUCCAAACUCCUACGGGAGGCAGCAGUGAGGAAUAUUGGUCAAUGGGCGCAGGCCUGAACCAGCCAAGUAGCGUGAAGGAUGACUGCCCUAUGGGUUGUAAACUUCUUUUAUAAAGGAAUAAAGUCGGGUAUGUAUACCCGUUUGCAUGUACUUUAUGAAUAAGGAUCGGCUAACUCCGUGCCAGCAGCCGCGGUAAUACGGAGGAUCCGAGCGUUAUCCGGAUUUAUUGGGUUUAAAGGGAGCGUAGAUGGAUGUUUAAGUCAGUUGUGAAAGUUUGCGGCUCAACCGUAAAAUUGCAGUUGAUACUGGAUAUCUUGAGUGCAGUUGAGGCAGGCGGAAUUCGUGGUGUAGCGGUGAAAUGCUUAGAUAUCACGAAGAACUCCGAUUGCGAAGGCAGCCUGCUAAGCUGCAACUGACAUUGAGG